UACGUAGGUGACCAGCGUUGUCCGGAUUUAUUGGGCGUAAAGAGCGUGUAGGCGGUUCGGUAAGUCUGUCGUGAAAUCCUGAGGCUCAACCUCGGGCGUGCGAUGGAUACUGCCGGGCUAGAGGGUGGUAGAGGCGAGUGGAAUUCCCGGUGUAGCGGUGAAAUGCGCAGAUAUCGGGAGGAACACCAGUAGCGAAGGCGGCUCGCUGGGCCACACCUGACGCUGAGACGCGAAAGCUAGGGGAGCGAACAGG
rnacentral:rRNA from 1 species